rnacentral:rRNA from 1 species
AAUUAGGGUUCGAUUCCGGAGAGGGAGCCUGAGAAAUCGCUACCACAUCUAAGGACGGCAGCAGGCGCGCAAAUUACCCAAUCUCAAUACGAGGAGGUAGUGACAAGCUAUAGUGACUCCACACCAUUUGGUGGGGAGGUAUUGUCUUCUGACGAUUUUCCAUGAUUUGGGUGUAGAUAACCCUUAGAGUAGCCAUUGGAGGAAAAGUCUGGUGCCAGCACCCGCGGUAAUUCCAGCUCCAAGAGCGUAUAUUAAUACUGCUGUAGUUAAAACGCCCGUAGUAUACCUAAGAGUGGGUGUGUAGCAAUUAGUUUUGCCAGAGGACGGUUGGCGAGAGUUUAUCACUCUUGUUUGCCUACUUUUGGUAGACUUUAGUCGGGCUGGACCUUUGGUCCUCGUCUGACAGUUGCUACGUGCUUACUUACCACGGUUCAUCCGUGAGGCCCUUGGCUUGCAACUGUAAAUAAAUCGUUGUGCUUAAAGCGGGCUAUGAUACUCUGCCAGAGCGAUUUAGCAUGGGACUGCAGAGUAGCUGUAUUUGGAUGAAGGUUGUGUUUCGGCAUGGCUGGAGUCUGGUACAGCGCUUGUAAUGGAGCUCAGGGUGAGGCCCCGGGUACCAUGAGGCUAGAGGUGAAGUUCUGAGACCCUCAUGUGACCAACUAAGGCGAAAGCUGUCGUGGGCCACCACAAGCUCGUCUAUCAGGGACGAAAGUUGGGGGAUCGAAGACGAUUAGAUACCGUCGUAGUCCCAACUAUAAACGAUACCAACCGAGUAUUUGGGAAGACACUAUCCCAGCGAUCUUCUCAGAACUCAAGGGAAACCUUAAGUCUUUGGGUUCUGGGGGGAGUAUAGUCGCAAGACCGAAACUUAAAGGAAUUGACGGAAAGGCACCACCAGGAGUGGAGUCUGCGGCUUAAUUUGACUCAACA